rnacentral:rRNA from 1 species
GAUGAACGCUGGCUACAGGCUUAACACAUGCAAGUCGAGGGGAAACGACGGGGAAGCUUGCUUCCCCGGGCGUCGACCGGCGCACGGGUGAGUAACGCGUAUCCAACCUGCCUCUGACUGAGGGAUAACCCGUCGAAAGUCGGCCUAAUACCUCAUGGCAUCGUCUGCGGGCAUCCAACGACGAUUAAAGAUUUCAUCGGUCAGAGAUGGGGAUGCGUCUGAUUAGCUUGUUGGCGGGGUAACGGCCCACCAAGGCGACGAUCAGUAGGGGUUCUGAGAGGAAGGUCCCCCACAUUGGAACUGAGACACGGUCCAAACUCCUACGGGAGGCGGCAGUGAGGAAUAUUGGUCAAUGGGCGAGAGCCUGAACCAGCCAAGUAGCGUGCAGGAUGACGGCCCUAUGGGUUGUAAACUGCUUUUAUGCGGGGAUAAAGUGAGGGACGUGUCCUUCAUUGCAGGUACCGCAUGAAUAAGGACCGGCUAAUUCCGUG